rnacentral:ncRNA from 1 species
GGAAGGCAGCAGGCGCGCAAAUUACCCAUUCCCGACGCGGGGAGGUAGUGACGAAAAAUAACAAUGCAGGACUCGUUCGAGGCCCUGUAAUUGGAAUGAGUACACUUUAAAAGCUUUAACGAGUAUCCAUUGGAGGGCAAGUCUGGUGCCAGCAGCCGCGGUAAUUCCAGCUCCAAAAGUAUAUAUUUAAGUUGUUGCGGUUAAAAAGCUCGUAGUUGGAUUUUGGGCGCAGGCGGCCGGUCCGUCGCAAGGCGUGUACUGGACGUCCUGGCCUUCCCUCCGGUUCUCCGCCGGUGCUCUUGACUGAGUGUCGGCGGCGGCCGGAACGUUUACUUUGAAAAAAUUAGAGUGUUCAAAGCAGGCUCUCGAGCCUGGAUAAUGGUGCAUGGAAUAAUGCAAUAGGACCUCGGUUCUAUUUUGUUGGUUUUCGGAGCGCGAGGUAAUGAUUAAGAGGGACAGACGGGGGCAUUCGUACUGUGCCGUUAGAGGUGAAAUUCUUGGAUCGGCGCAAGAC